GCAGCCGGUCAGGCAGCGGGAGAACAAAAGCUGAUCAUCUUCACGGAGCAAGUUUGUGCUGCUUUAAUGCGCAAAAAACCUUCCUUUCUGAGUCCCUGACUGCUGAAGAGCGGGGCUAGUCCCGGCCUCACCAGCGACAUAUUGUCUGGCAGGUGUUCAGAGCAGCUGAAGAACGUCUCCUGUGGUCAGACAUCUGCAUCACCAAGCUCACUGGGGACCUGCCAGGCUCUUCACUGGUGACAUGGAGGAUGAUGGUCUCUAGCCCCAUCUGCAGACUUAGCUGUGACCUGGCCCAGAUCCAUGGCCUGCCAAAGCAGGAGACCCCCACAAUUCUGCACCUAAUGGGGAGAGUCUUCCUUGUUUUCCUGCCUGAAGGACAGGAAUGCUUUUGGGUUCCCAAGAAGCUGAACCCAAAAACCUCAUGCCACCUCUUUCUCCAUGAGAUGAUCCAGCCGAGCUUUAGCUUCUUCAGCACAGACAGUUGAAAUUCCUCACUGGGCUUGAUCAACAGGAGGAGGAUCUGGAGACCAGUUUGGUGCAGGAGCCUGGGGAAGAAAAGACCUUCCUGGAAAGGAAGACUCCAACCUGACUUUGAAGAAGUCCUUUUGAAGGACCAGGCUACACCUGAAAAGAAAGUACAUUGCUGCUGUGUGUGGGACUUCAUCAGACUGGAAGUUAAGAUGUGAAAGUAGGCUGUGCUUUCCCUGUAGCAUCAACCUCAGAGAAAACCCAGAAGUGGGCAAGGAGACUUGAAGCCAGUCAUCCACAAUUGAGUUUUGCCUAUUUAUAGGUGCCACAAGUUCAAUGUUUCCUCAGUUCAAAGCCAUUUCUGCUUCAGUUGUAAAUGCACUGAGUCAUCUCAGCACAUUGAUUUUAGUCGUAAUUGGAAAUAAUACUUUUGAAUCCAGAGAAACUAUAUUUUUAAAUUUGUAAUAAUUAGAAUUUAUCUAUUAUGAUUGCUGCAUUUACAAAAUUUGUACUUAUGAUUUGGUCAGUUUUUCUUUGGGGGUAUACAAGGUAUAUUUUAACUGUUAGCUUUUACUUAUAAACUGUAAAGAAUCAAAAGUGUUGGGGCAUUCCCACUGUGACACAGUAAAGAAUCAAAGUGUCCUUAAACCUUAAAUCUGACUUAAAAUCAAAAAGGAAUAUAAUUAGUUUUAUUUAUUUCAUUGAUUCUUAACAUAUUUUUAUGCUACAGUAGUUUACUUGUGUUUGUGAAUAUAUUGGUAAAUAAAACAAAGAUACUGCUUCCUCCGAAGAUUUUCUGUUGGAGAGGAUGGGGCUUAAAAUGUCAUAAGGAGAGAACUCUUGUUGGACUGGGAAGGAGAAACAUAAGGCACUGGGACAGGUUAUCGCAGCAGGAGCUCUUCCCUUUUUUAAUUUUUAAAUUUAUUUUUUUUAAUUACAUUAGAGUGUGGUUGACUUACAAUGGAGUACAGUUUCAGGUGUACAACAAAGUGAAUCAGUUAUACAUGUACAUAUAUCCAUUCUUCCUCAGAUUCUUUUCCCAGGUGGGUAAUUACAGAACAUCGAGUAGAUUUCCCUGUGCUAUACAGUAGUCCUUGUUAGUUAUUGGAGAUGUUCCUUUAAUUUGUACAUUCUUGAGAAAGCAUGUCUGGUGGUUGUUGAUUCUAUUUCAGCAGUUGCAUGAUCAAGAAGCUGUGUGAAAUACAUUUUAGAAUCAUGGAAUUUAAACUUCAGCAAAUAGGUAGUGAGUAUGCCUUCUAUUUGUUGCCACUGUGCUGGGUGCCAGAUACAAUGAACAGAGCAGACACCUUGGUAUUGUCACAGAGCUCCAGUCUGGUGGGGAUAUGGUUUGCCAAGCAUUCAACUAAAGGCAUGUUGAUACUGUGACAGGGAAAGUGCAGGACACUGGGAGCAUGUGGGAUCCCACGGAUCAGAGAAAGCUUCUGGAAGAAGCAGCUGGUAAGCUGGCAUCUCAAGGGUCUGCAGGGUUAGCCAGGUAAUUGCAUGAUGGCCAGUGGUGGACAUGUUGUGUGGAGAUCGUGUAGGGUAGCAGGCAGAUAAAGGGUUUGGAGAGGAACAAGUGUUUUGAGAUGUGGCUCUGGGUAAAGUCAUGCAUAUGGAAGUUGUAAUCUCAGAGAUGACAUUUGGAACCAUUUGGGAGAUUGAGACUCUGUGCAGAGAGGACGAAGUGUGAUGCUAGUGUGGAAUUUUGAGGAAAACCAAAGGUCCCUAAGAUGAGAGGGAGGAGUCAGCAAAAGCAGAUGAGGAGGAGCAGGAAAUCAGGGUAUGAUGGUGACAUAGAAACCAGCUGAAGUUCCAACUUUAAAAUGGUCAAUGUGGGAACAAGUGUUUGAUGCUUCUAAAAUGUCAGCUGGGGCUGCCUGGCAGUGAACUGUGGCCUCAGUAAGAUGUAGUUUGUUAUACACCUUGCCUGAGCAGUUUCAAGAAAACAGAGAGAUGGGCACCAGAUUAUAGCAAUUGGAGAAAUGAGCUUUAUAUCAAGAAAUAAGGACUCAUAUUGCAGAGACAUUCUAGAAGUUUGGAUCUGAACAGAGUAAGAGAAUACAUACGGGUAGUUGUAAGAAAUGGUCAUAUUCCAGAUGUAGAAGAUGGAAAUUAUGUGCAUUUAAUGUUGAUCAAAACUAGCCAGUCCAAAGGAAGAUGUGGAUACAGCGGAGAGAGGAGCUGACUGAUAAAGCAUAAGCAUCUCUCUGAAGCCUUUUCUACUUUGUAGCAAGGGAAUCUCUCCCCAAAGCUACAUCUUCUGAAACUGACCCUCCAUGAGGAUUUGCACCCUGGAACAGCCAUGGUGAGUCUUGGGAUUUGCAAGGGAGAAUUUCUUUUAUAAAAUGAUAUAAAGGUCUGAAUGAGAGAAUGGAGGUGGGAAUGGGGAAUGGCCAAAUGUCCAUCUCUCUUUUUAGGCAUAUCAGUUCUAUGCAAGCAUAUGUAUCAGUGUUGACCAUGUUUAAAAAACUGCUUAAUGAAAUAUUUAAGUAAUUUGAACUUUUAAAAAAUAUUACAAAUGGAUUAUCUUCUGAAUUAUUUAUUUAUUUAUUUAUUUAUUAUUCUACUGUACAGCAUGGUGUCCCAGUUACACUUACAUGUAUACAUUCUUUUUUCUCACAUUAUCAGGCUCCAUCAUAAGUGACUAGAAGAGUUCCCAGUGCUAAACAGCAGGAUCCUAUUGCUAAUCCAUCCCAAAGGCCACCUUCUGCAUCUGUUUACCCCAAGCUCCCAGUCCCUCCCAAUCCCUCCCCUUUCCCCUUGGCAACCACAAAUCUAUUCUGCAAGUCCAUGAUUUUCUUUUCUGUGGAAAGGUUCCUUUGUGCCACAUAUUAGAUUCCAGAUAUAAGUGAUAUCAUAUGGUAUUUGUCUUUCUCACUUACCUCACUCAGGAUGAGAGUCUCUGGUUCCAUCCAUGUUGCUGCAAAUGGCAUAAUUUUGUUCUUUUUUAUGCCUGUGUAGUAUCCCAUCGUGUAUAUAUAUAUACCACAUCUUCCUAAUCCAAUCAUUUGUCGAUGGACAUUUGGGUUGUUUCCAUGUCUUGGCUAUUGUGAAUAGUGCUGCAAUGAACAUGCGGGUGCAUGUGUCUUUUUAAGGAGAGUUUUGUCUGGAUAUAUGCCCAAGAGUAGGAUUGCUGGGUUGUAUAAUAGUUCUAUGUGUAGAUUUCUAAGGUACCUCCAUACUGUUCUCCAUAGUGGUUGUACCAGCUUACAUUCCUGCCAACAGUGCAGGAUAGUUCCCUUUUCUCCAUCACCCCCUCCAGCAUUUGUUAUUUGUGGACUUAUUAAUAAUGGCCAUUCUGACUGGUGUGAGGUGGUGUCUCAUGGUAGUUUUGAUUUGCAUUUCUCUAAUAAUCAGGGAUGUUGAGCAUUGUUUCAAGUGCUUGUUGGCCAUCUGUACAUCUUCCUUGGAAAAAUGUCUAUUCAGGUCUUUUGCCCAUUUUUCAAUUGGGUUGUUGGCUUUUUUGUUGAGUUGUAUUAAGUUGUUUGCAUAUUUUAGAGAUUAGGCCCUUGUCAGUUGCAUCAUUUGAAAGUAUUUUCUCCCAUUCUGUAAGUUGUCUUUUUGUUUUCUUUUUGGUUUCCUCUACUGCGCAAAGGUUGUCAGUUUGAGUAGGUCCCAUUGGUUUAUUUUUGCUUUUAUUUCUGUUGCGUUGGGAGACUGACCUAAGAAAACAUUUGUAAGGUUGAUGUCAGUGAAUGUUUUGCCUAUGUUCUUUUCCAGGAGUUUGAUGGUGUCUUGUCUUAUAUUUAAGCCUUUCAGGCAUUUUGAGUUUAUUUUUGUACAUGAUGUGAGGGUGUGUUCCAGUUUCACUGAUUCGCAUGUAGCUGUCCAGGUUUCCCAGCAAUACUUGCUGAAAAGACUUUCUUUUUCCCAUUUUAUAUUCUUGUCUCCUUUGUCAAAGAUUAAUUGACCAUAGGUGGCUGGGUUUAUUUCUGGGUUCUCUGUUCCGUUCCAUUGGUCUGUAUGUUUGUUUUGGUACCAGUACCACACUGUCUUGAUUACUGUGGCUCUGUAAUAUUAUCUGAAGUCUGGGAGAGUUCUGCCUCCUGCUUGGUUUUUGUUCUUCAGAAUUGCUGAAUAAUUAAAAUACAAUUUUUGACUUAGGAAAAAUGGAGUUUUCCUAGUCAUGUCAGCAAGAAAUUUUGCCUGAAGUUUCCAUCAUGGUGCAGUGGUUAACGAAUCCAGCUAGGAACCAUGAGGCUGCAGGUUUGAUCCCUGGCCUUGCUCAGUGGGUUAAGGAUCUGGCGUUGCCGUGAGCUGUGGUAUAGGUUGCAGAUGCGGCUUGGAUCCCAUGUUGUUGUGGCUCUGGCGUUGGUGUGACUACAGCUUUGAUUAGACCCCUAACCUGGGAACCUCCAUAUGCCAUGGGAAGCAGCCCUAGA
rnacentral:lncRNA from 1 species